GGGAGGGGGCUAGCGUUGUUCGGAAUUACUGGGCGUAAAGCGCGCGUAGGCGGGCUGGUUAGUUGGGGGGUGAAAUCCCCGAGGGCUCAACCUCGGGAACUGCCCUCAAUACUGCCAGUCUUGAGUUCGAGAGAGGUGAGUGGAAUUCCUAGUGUAGAGGUGAAAUUCGUAGAUAUUAGGAAGAACACCAGUGGCGAAGGCGGCUCACUGGCUCGAUACUGACGCUGAGGCGCGAAAGCGUGGGGAGCAAACAGGAUUAGAUACCCUGGUAGUCCACGCCGUAAACGAUGGGUGCUAGUUGUCAGGCAGCUUGCUGUUUGGUGACGCAGCUAACGCGUUAAGCACCCCGCCUGGGGACUACGGUCGCAAGACUA
rnacentral:rRNA from 1 species